AAGACUAUACUUUCAGGGAUCAUUUCUAUAGUUUGUUACUAGAGAAGUUUCUCUGAUCGUGUAGAGCACCGAAAACCACGAGGAGGAGAUGGAGCAUUCUCUCCUGAGCGUGAAACAGACAUUUGGUGUUGCUUUUUUGCGAUCUUCAUUUGUCAUUGAUGAUCGUUCCUGCUUUCCUUUUAGGAAGCAGGAGGGAGAGUAUGCUGAGUGGUA
ensembl:snoRNA